GAAGAAAAAAAAUAAAAAAAUCUGCAAUUAACCACCAAGAGAUUUUAUUUAAAGUCAAUAAAAUAUUCUUUAAAUUUCACAUAGUUUCAAACACCAGUAGAACAUGGUUUAAAAGGGUGGCAGAGUGCUUUAUAACAAGAUGGCAGAGUGGUUUAUUUCAGAGAGGUUACUAUUUUAUCAAGAACAAUUAGAUGUAGUUAAUCCAACCUUAGCACAUUUAGUGCAUAGAGCCUAGAAAACAAACACAUGUAGCUAUAUUUAAUAGACAAAAUGAUCAAAAUGUGUAAAUUUUUUUAAAAAA